rnacentral:rRNA from 1 species
GCAAGUCGAACGAGAAAGGUACCUUCGGGUGCUGAGUAGAGUGGCGCACGGGUGAGUAACGCGUAAGUAAUCUACCUUCAAGUUUGGGAUAACAUCUCGAAAGGGGUGCUAAUACCGGAUAAGACCACGUUAGGGUGACCUAAUGUGGGAAAAGAUAGCCUCUUCUUGAAAGCUAUCGCUAGGAGCUGAGCUUGCGUACCAUUAGCUUGUUGGUGGGGUAAAGGCCUACCAAGGCUGAGAUGGUUAACUGGUCUGAGAGGACGAUC